AGUCAGUAGACAUAGAACAUGGGAAGCCUGAUCUGCUGCUGGUCAAAGAGGAGACAAUAGAAGUUGGACCAGAGAGCACUGACCUGCGGAGAGGAUUAAAGAUGGGGGAUCAAGGUGGUUGGCUGGAGGCUAACAAAGGAGACUGGGCAGCCAUCUUUGAUUCCUAGACCCAGACUGAUGCAGUCAAGUGCCCAUGGGACAACAUCACUGAGCAGGCAAUGGACCAGAGGUGACAUAGUGGAGUCUGCAGUCCAUGAGGACCUGCUGAUAUCCGGUAUUGCUGGUGGGAGAGAGUGGACCUCUGAAGCAGCUGGUCACAAACCCUGGCCCUUGGUCAGAACCAGUCACUUCCUUCCAGAACCAGGACUGAACCACGAGGGACAGUGCAGGGACGGAGCAGGGCCUGGGGAUAAUAGAGAUAGACCAUCCUGUUUCCAUGAUACAAACAUCACAGUAUCCAUGAUCAGGAUGGGUGUUCACCACGAGAGGUACCUAGCCUAUAACACAGCACACAAUCCCAACAACACCCAAACAAUGGCUCAAGGUCAAGGAGGGAGCUAAAAGACUAACCACCUCAGGGCGGUGACUCCUGCUUCUGCCUCGUCUGGUGUAAUUGGGUCACAAUGUGGGAGGCCGAGCAUUAGGACGGGCGCCAAAAAGCAGUAAGUACACCUGCCCAACGUGUAGCAAGGGCUUCGCUUAGGUGAACUCCACUACAUGACCAAAAGUAUGU